GGUGAACCUGCGGAAGGAUCAUUACCGAUGUGAAAAAUCCAAGGUUAAACAUCAUUAACCAGUGUGAACUGUGAAACAACUCUUUAGGGGUCGGCACAGGCGUGUGUCGUUAAAUGGCGGAUAGGUUCCUUCCGCCAGCCCCGCCAUUGUGUUUAUGAUAUCACUUUGAACGUUUAAGACUGAGAACGUAUGUAUCAUGCAUGAAAUGUAUGAGAAAGAAGGAAAGAAAAAUGAGAGACAACUUUUGACGGUGGAUCUCUUGGCUCACGUAUCGAUGAAGAACGCAGCCAGCUGCGAUAUGUAGUGUGAAUUGCAGAAUUCAGUGAAUCAUUGAAUCUUUGAACGCAAAUGGCGCUCUUGGGUUCUCCCAGGAGCAUGUCUGUCUGAGUGUCGGAUUUUAUCGAACGCACUCGUGAGUGCGGUAUUGAGGUGUCACGGCGUGUUAGCAAGCAAGCAAGCAUUAAAUCGCCGUGUCCCUUGAAGGACAGCAGCAUUGGACUCGCAUUCUCUAUUGAAACUUGAGUGCGAAGGCUAAAGAUAAUAUUUUCCUUCGCCCAAACAUGCAAUAGCAGAAACAAAAUCCAAUCAAAGCGGUGACAGACAAUGACAACAUCAAAUCUUGACCUCAGAUCAGGCAAGGCUACCCGCUGA
rnacentral:sRNA from 1 species